rnacentral:rRNA from 1 species
UACGAAGGGGGCUAGCGUUGCUCGGAAUCACUGGGCGUAAAGCGCACGUAGGCGGCUUUUUAAGUCAGGGGUGAAAUCCUGGAGCUCAACUCCAGAACUGCCUUUGAUACUGGAAAGCUCGAGUCCGGAAGAGGUGAGUGGAACUGCGAGUGUAGAGGUGAAAUUCGUAGAUAUUCGCAAGAACACCAGUGGCGAAGGCGGCUCACUGGCCCGAUACUGACGUUGAGGCACGAAAGCGUGGGGAGCAAACAGG